AUGAACGCUGGCGGCGUGCCUAAUCCAUGCAAGUCGAGCGAACAGACGAGGAGCUUGCUCCUCUGACGUUAGCGGCGGACGGGGGAGUAACACGUGGAUAACCUACCUAUAAGACUGGGAUAACUUCGGGAAACCGGAGCUAAUACCGGAUAAUAUAUUGAACCGCAUGGUUCAAUAGUGAAAGACGGUUUUGCUGUCACUUAUAGAUGGAUCCGCGCCGCAUUAGCUAGUUGGUAAGGUAACGGCUUACCAAGGCAACGAUGCGUAGCCGACCUGAGAGGGUGAUCGGCCACACUGGAACUGAGACACGGUCCAGACUCCUACGGGAGGCAGCAGUAGGGAAUCUUCCGCAAUGGGCGAAAGCCUGACGGAGCAACGCCGCGUGAGUGAUGAAGGUCUUCGGAUCGUAAAACUCUGUUAUUAGGGAAGAACAAAUGUGUAAGUAACUAUGCACGUCUUGACGGUACCUAAUCAGAAAGCCACGGCUAACUACGUG
rnacentral:rRNA from 1 species